rnacentral:rRNA from 1 species
GAUGAACGCUGGCGGCGUGCCUAAUACAUGCAAGUCGAGCGAAUGGAUUAAGAGCUUGCUCUUAUGAAAUUAGCGGCGGACGGGUGAGUAACACGUGGGUAACCUGCCCAUAAGACUGGGAUAACUCCGGGAAACCGGGGCUAAUACCGGAUAACAUUUUGAACCGCAUGGUUCGAAAUUGAAAGGCGGCUUCGGCUGUCACUUAUGGAUGGGCCCGCGUCGCAUUAGCUAGUUGGUGAGGUAACGGCUCACCAAGGCAACGAUGCGUAGCCGACCUGAGGGGGUGAUCGGCCACACUGGGACUGAGACACGGCCCAGACUCCUACGGGAGGCAGCAGUAGGGAAUCUUCCGCAAUGGACGAAAGUCUGACGGAGCAACGCCGCGUGAGUGAUGAAGGCUUUCGGGUCGUAAAACUCUGUUGUUAGGGAAGAACAAGUGCUAGUUGAAUAAGCUGGCACCUUGACGGUACCUAACCAGAAAGCCACGGCUAACUACGUGCCAGCCGCCGCCGUAA